AAAAUCCAAAUCGUGGCAGUGAGAUAUGAAGAGAAUACAAGGUUGGAGCUCAGUAAUGGAGAUUUCAUCUGGUUUGCUCUGCUAAUGUGAUACCCAGAGGCUCCACUUGAUGGGGAUCCAAUUGC
rnacentral:lncRNA from 1 species